GUUGAGGAAAGAACGCUUCGCACCGGGCUCUACUAAACGAGAGAAAGCGGCAAGAUGGACCGCCAAAGACGUAAGUCUAACGGUUUGACAAUAUCAGGAAUAAGAGCGCAUCAGAUGACAAUGUCAGGAACAAGAGCGCAUCAGAUGCUGCAAGCGCAAAGAAAG
rnacentral:ribozyme from 1 species